CGGGUAGAGUAAUGCGUGACCAACCUGCCCCAUGCUCCAGAAUAGCUCUUGGAAACGGGUGGUAAUGCUGGAUGCUCCAACUUGACGCAUGUCUUGUUGGGAAAGUGUUUAGUGGCAUGGGAUGGGGUCGCGUCCUAUCAGCUUGUAGGCGGGGUAAUGGCCCACCUAGGCUUCGACGGGUAGCCGGCCUGAGAGGGCGGACGGCCACAUUGGGACUGAGAUACGGCCCAGACUCCUACGGGAGGCAGCAG
rnacentral:rRNA from 1 species